rnacentral:ncRNA from 2 species
AAGUUGCAUCAGGAGUGACCAAAUGGUCCGGCAACCGGGGUUAGACCCACGGUGCCAGCUCACCUUCGGGUGGGGAUGUGGCUCAGCGAAAGCUGAGCAACGGGCCGAACUCUA